GAUCCUUAACAUCAAAAACAAAAACCAGACUACAGCAACAAAAACCCUCAAGAGUAAAGUGGUUCACUGGUGUCUGCUGGUCUUCAGCUCCUGUUCCAGCCUGUUCCAGCCUCCAGCAGGUACAACUCUCUAGGAGAGUCACAGCUGGCCAGGACCAGACAGGACCACUCUGUGUGGCAGUCCUAAGCUAGAGGACAUUCGGGAACUUGUUUCCACAGUUCUGUCCUCUUCUCUUUAUGAAAGGGCUUUUGCUUUGCAUGGCCUUUGUUUGUGGAGUUCAACUAAUAAAGGGGCCAUUUUGCUGGAAUGAAUUACUGGAUGGCUGGAGCACUGCCCUCUGGCCUCUGCAGCAAGGCUGUCAAGACUGUAAGUCUGCUGUAGGAUUCCCAGAGGUACAGUACCAUCAAAUGCUC